UCAAGAGGAACAAGUACCUGUGAAUAAGCUAAAUUCUUUAAGAGUAGGACAACCUCGGAAUGGUAGCUACUACUAGUUGUGUUAUUAGAGCGGGGUCCAGACUCCAGAUGCCACUAAAGCCAGGUCAGGGCACGGAACCCUAAACGAGAUUGGAUAGGCAAGUUCUGGAUAGGUCAUGAGUGGCAUUCUAGGAAAACUAGUUCCUGGAUCCUAAGCUUAUUUCCUUGUUAGUUUUACUCAUUAUUCAGUUUAACUUUGUUAGUACUUAAAACUGUUUACAGGUAUUCUCCUACUUAUGGAAAAAUCAUAUCUCGAAUAUACCCUAGCCUACACUAGGGUAAUUUGCACCAUCUCUACAUAUAGGGUAGCCUAGCCUACACUACUUUAUACAUAGGUAUACAGCAUAAUAAUUAUUAGUUUCAGCAUAUUUUCUAGGUUCAAUGUAGGCUAUGUGUGCUUAUGAAAAUUCAGUACGAAGUAAUUGAAUAAAAUUAAAGUGUUGGCCUAGUGUAGACAUACGAAUACAGUAGCGUAGCCUACAGUAUUCUCUAUAUUACACAUGCGGUAUAGUAAUUUAUUAAUUGAUAUAAGCCAAUUCUGGAGGUUCAGUGCAUUCUGACUAUGAUAUAUUAGUAGAAAAAAAAAUUGGACACAAAACGAGAAUCAGUCAGACAUCUGUACAAUUGAGUGAUGUCAGGCUGCUGAUGGCUGCAUAUAAUUAUGAAAUAAGUUCUACACCACUUCACUGUAUCCAAUAAUAUUUCUUGCGACCUCUUAUGGUGGAAGUGAUGCGACCUCGUGAUGACAAUGACAAAAUUGGAAAGUAGGGUGCAAGAUCAGCAGAAGUCACUAGAAAUAAUGAUAGGUACCAUCGAACAUUUGAAACAAACUCAGGCUGCUGCACCCACUGGACCUGAUUUAUCCCUGCUGGACGGAUUGCUACCAAUACAAAGAUAUGUAGACUUUGAGGACUUUGAACAACAGAUAAAUGGGGACAGUCCCCUUAGAAAGUCACUGGUACAUAGACUCUAGAUUCUUGGGGGAGCAACCGUCAGCAGUCAAAACCAUGAUUGACUUCUGCAUGACAAGUGGACUCCUGUAUGAGUUCAACUGGGAAGGUCGUCUUGGCUGGAAGACGAAAACAAAUACAUGCAAGAAAGGGUUCAAGAACACGACAUUGU